UACAGAGGUCUCAAGCGUUGUUCGGAUUCAUUGGGCGUAAAGGGUGCGUAGGUGGCGCCAUAAGUCAGGUGUGAAAUCUCGGGGCUCAACCCCGAAACUGCACUUGAUACUGUGGUGCUGGAGUACUGGAGAGGAGAUUGGAAUUUACGGUGUAGCAGUGAAAUGCGUAGAUAUCGUAAGGAAGACCAGUGGCGAAGGCGAAUCUCUGGACAGUUCCUGACACUGAGGCACGAAGGCCAGGGGAGCAAACGGG
rnacentral:rRNA from 1 species